GGAGGGAUGGCUGAGUGGUUGAAAGCGGCGGUCUUGAAAACCGUUGAGUGUAACAGCUCCGUGGGUUCGAAUCCUACUCCCUCCGCCA
rnacentral:tRNA from 2 species